CAGGAGAGACAGGUGGUGCAUGGUUGUCGUCAGCUCGUGUCGUGAGAUGUUGGGUUAAGUCCCGCAACGAGCGCAACCCCUAUCUUUAGUAGCCAGCAUAUAAGGUGGGCACUCUAGAGAGACUGCCAGGGAUAACCUGGAGGAAGGUGGGGACGACGUCAAAUCAUCAUGCCCCUUAUGACCAGGGCUACACACGUGCUA
rnacentral:rRNA from 1 species